rnacentral:rRNA from 1 species
AUUGAACGCUGGCGGCAUGCUUUACACAUGCAAGUCGAACGGCAGCGCGGGCUUCGGCCUGGCGGCGAGUGGCGAACGGGUGAGUAAUACAUCGGAACGUGCCCAGUAGUGGGGGAUAGCUCGGCGAAAGCCGGAUUAAUACCGCAUACGACCUGAGGGGGAAAGCGGGGGAUCUUCGGACCUCGCGCUAUUGGAGCGGCCGAUGGCAGAUUAGCUAGUUGGUGGGGUAAAGGCCUACCAAGGCGACGAUCUGUAGCUGGUCUGAGAGGACGACCAGCCACACUGGGACUGAGACACGGCCCAGACUCCUACGGGAGGCAGCAGUGGGGAAUUUUGGACAAUGGGCGAAAGCCUGAUCCAGCAAUGCCGCGUGUGUGAUGAAGGCCUUCGGGUUGUAAAGCACUUUUGGCGGGAACGAAAAGGACUGUGCCAAUACCACGGUUCGAUGACGGUACCCGCAGAAUAAGCACCGGCUAACUACAUG